UAAGCAGUUGCAAAUGAUGGCACACAUGUAGAAAUACCUCUCAUGGUAAAUACUGCCUUGGGCACAACCUAGUCAGCAUGAAGCAGCAGCCUCCAAAUAGUUUGAAAUUAUAGUACUGGGCAGAGCAGAUUACAGCAACCCAACAGACAGGAGAGGUGAGGUUCCUCCAUCCAAAAUGGGAUGAUGCAACCUCCCAGUCAAGCACAACUGAGAAGAUAAAACAGUUUUGGAAACCACUGUUAUUCCUUUCCAGCCACCUGAGACCCAGAAGCCUUAAGGACCGUUGUGGUCAGGACGUACUGAUGUGGACAUCUGACUUUUAUGAUAGUGUCUCGGAGGCAGCAGCAUCACAGUUGCACGGGAAAGGAAAGCGGUCUGUCCUUCGCAUACCUGGAUUGCUUUAAGAACAUGCCAUAAAGCAGGCUGGUAUAACGCUUCUUCCUCCACCUCUGCCUGUAGGCUCUACAAGGAGCACAUCAGAACUGCUGGUUUUGCUUUGGACUGCAAGAUGUUUGGAAAGCCACAUGCUUUUUCUGAAGGCGGCUCUGUCCCCUCCGUGCCAGCCUCAGCUGCUGCGUUCACUUUCGCCCAGAAUGCCGGAUCCUGUCCACGAUGAGCCAGAGCAGAGGAGAGCGUCAGCUUGGGACUGACCAAACAGCACUGGCUUUCAUGUAAUCACAGCCAAAUUCUUCCUGGCAGCCACAUGGACAGCCUUUCCAGCAGAGAUGGCUGGCGCUUUUCUACCUUGCUCGCCUCUGAACCCACAGAUAAUCCUGUCCGAGGAGCGAGCGAGGGAGGGUGAUCUGGAGAUGUGCCCAUCGUGCCGUUCCUCCCACCCAGGGGAGUUCAUGGCUCUUCCUGGCAGCAGUAUUGCCCGUGGAGGGAAUAUAACGGGGGGGGAGGCCACACACCACCCCUUCUGGAAGAGGAAGCGAUCUUCAGCAACAGUCCUGUUCUAUAGGUCUCCCCGUCCAGAAAUGGGGGUAACGCCUGGCUGCUCACUGACCUGUUAGAACACGGCAGUCAUGAACGGUUGCUAAAUGUUGCAGUUGGAGAAAUUUAUUAUUAGUUACUGCAUUUCAUAGGACAUUUUUUCAUAAGUCCCUGAAAUCUAAACUAACACAGAAAACACAGGACUAGUUGUACAGAUCUGUACAACAUUACCUCUGGCUGCACGGCUGCGCCCUCCUUUCAGUCCAGGAGGAGCGAGAGCCGAGUUUUUGACGCAGGCUCAAUUUCUGUCUUGCAGGGAAAAUCCUGAAGCACAUAAUCUGAUCUCCCCAGCUAAAACUUCUCCUGGACGACCUGUCCUGCUCACAGCAGUACUGCAGGCAGGAGAGAGGACACAGGGCACAGGAGCUGCCCGGGGUUCCCGCACAUGAGCUGAAGCCACCCAAGGGCAGGCAGGGAGGUCUUCUGCCUGCGCAGGGACAACAAAUGGCCCAGGCGGAAAAAGGGCAACUGGACGCGAUGAGCGGAGGCAGAGCAGCUGGGGUGGACCAAGAACUCUAAGUCCAGCCCAGCGGCAGCCAGGGGCUGUCCUCGGCACGCAGCAAUUCGUGGCCAGGGACAAGUGGGGUGAUGGCAGCACUCCUCGUUACAUGGGGCAGACGUGCUCGAAGGCACAGGACGCAUCCUCUGCAGGAUGGAGGUCCCUCUGCAUCCAGUGAUUGCUCCCAAGAUUGGGUCACUUGCCCCCAUGGUAACCCCGAAGGGACUAGUCCAGCCCAGGGAGGCAGUAAGGAGAGGUGGCAGGCUUGUUAUCACUGGGAAAUCAACAAGUGGUUUGAACAGUUUUUUGGGAGGGCAGAAAACUCCUGAGGGUCACUGGUGCUGAUGACAAACAGCAGCUUGACCAUGAAGACCAUAAGCAGACGCGUGCUACUGGGAGCGCUGCCUUUCCUCGCUUCCCACCAGCACCUCACUCUGCCUCACUUUUGCUGCCUUGGCCUGAAGAGCCCCUGUAAAUGUGACCUGUCUCUUGGAGCUUGUUAUUCCGUGCUUUAUUUGCAUCACACUGGAUCUGUCCAGGUGAUUAAACAAAAGACAUCUUUUUAUUAUUGUUGUUUUUACUGUGCAAUUGCUAUGUCCUUUAUUAGGGCUUUGCUUUUCCUGUGAGGAAUAAUCUCUGGAAACUUGGAUAGGAUCCUUUGGCUCACACUAGAAAAGGGAAAAUUUCUUCCUAACCUGCCAGCUUUCCUCCUGUCCAGCAGAUCUGGGCAUUUAAGAGGCUGUGACCAAGUGCUCAGAGGGCUCCACAAACCUUACUUCUGCUCCCCACCGCACUUCUGACUCUCCCUACAGUUACAAAGAAGUCACUUAUUUCCUCAUUGCUCCAGGUUCUCCAUCUGCCACCUUAUGAUAUAAUAUUUACUUACCUUUCCAAGGCAUUUUAAAUCUCCGUAGGAAUGCAUUAUAAAAGUGCAUUAGUGUUAUUACUAUUCUCCGUUGUGUAACUUUGAGAAAUGGCUUACGUAAGGCUGGCUCCUCUGUCCCCUCUCUGACCCCCAUCCAUUGUCCCGGUGCUGCUGCCUCCUCCCGUGACAGCAAUAAUUAAGCUCCGAUUUCCCAGUAUCCCCCUCAGGCUCCUACCCAGACCUUGGGGAAUAACCAUCCAGUCCCCUCUGCAUCGGUCCAGGGAACGGCAGCUUUGGAUUCAAAGGUCCCGCUGCUUCUCUCUCCAUGCCCCUGUUGAACAUGCCUGCAUUGGAAUGUCCCAAUAUAUGUUUUUGGAGGCUCCGGAAUGACUUGUAUGAUCUCAAAGCCCCUUUUCCUAGCGUCUCUAA